GACGAGCGCUGGCGGCGUGCUUAACACAUGCCAGUCGAACGGAAAGGCCCUGCUUUUGUGGGGUGCUCGAGUGGCGAACGGGUGAGUAACACGUGAGUAACCUGCCCUUGACUUUGGGAUAACUUCAGGAAACUGGGGCUAAUACAGGAUAGGAGCUCCUGCUGCAUGGUGGGGGUUGGAAAGUUUCGGCGGUUGGGGAUGGACUCGCGGCUUAUCAGCUUGUUGGUGGGGUAGUGGCUUACCAAGGCUUUGACGGGUAGCCGGCCUGAGAGGGUGACCGGCCACAUUGGGACUGAGAUACGGCCCAGACUCCUACGGGAGGCAGCAGUGGGGAAUAUUGCACAAUGGGCGGAAGCCUGAUGCAGCAACGCCGCGUGCGGGAUGACGGCCUUCGGGUUGUAAACCGCUUUCGCCUGUGACGAAGCGUGAGUGACGGUAAUGGGUAAAGAAGCACCGGCUAACUACGUG
rnacentral:rRNA from 1 species